AAGAAGGUUUGAGAAAAAUAGGUCCCAGCCAACUCCAUGGGGACAUGUGGACAAGGGGAGUGAAUGGUGUCCUGUGUUUAAAGACACUGGCAGUGCGCCUACUGACCCUGGUGUUGUUUCUCUCCGCCUUCAGGUUGGCGAUCUCCUCCUCUCUCUGCACGAGUAGCUCCCUGCAGGUGUGGAGCUCUGCAGCGAGAGCUGCACACUCCUGGGGUCGGAGAGGGGACAAAAGUGGAGAGACACAGGGGGUCUUUACCAGAGCACACCAGGCCUCCGUGGCCCUCCAGAGUCCCAGCACCCACCACCCUCAAGUAGCAUCACACACACCAGUCCCCUCCUCACCACCCACAGGAGUUCCGGGGAUUCUCGGAGGGACCGACACUCAAGGGGACAGACAUUUUCAGGUGCCUGGCAGGUCUAGGACUCAGGAACUCUGCUGACUCGGGAGCAACAGGCCGAGAAGCCUCCUGCCCAUCUGCAGCCUCUGGCCUCAUCUGGCAAGCAGGCUUGUGGAGCGGCAGUGGGGAAAGGCUGACGGUACUCAAAAGCUGCUGUUUUAGCCUGAACCCCUGGCUCAAUCAGACUCAACCAUACCCAAUGGACUUUUCAAAAAUGAUGGUAGGACUCUUGACGAAAGGGCGAGUUUACGACUUCUUUCCUUAGUCAAGCAGGAAAUAUUAUGGAGGAAGGGUUUCUGAGGAGAGUGAUGCCAGGGCCCACCACCCCGCGUGGGGUUUCUCUCCCACAAUACUGAGCGCCCGCCCAGGACAUGGCGUACAGGUGGGCUCCAAGGAGGUGGACGCACACUCUCCAGUCAGUCGAGCGCAGAGCCCGGUGCAGGGCUCAAUCCCUGAACCAUGACAUCAUGACCUGAGCUGAAACCAAGAGUCAGACUCUUAACGCCCUGAGACACCCAGGCGCCCCAGAGCUUUUGUCUCUGUAGGACAAACGAGGGGAUAAACGUUCACUUAACAACUGACAUUCCAAAUAAAGAGAGAUGUUGAUUUCAGCAAUUCUAGAAAAUCCAAGUACAAACUGGUGACAUACUUCAAUUUCUUUCAUAAAUUAACCCUUUCCAAAUCAACGGGAAUGUUAUCACAGAACUGAACACGUUCCUUGCAAUCUGACUUGACAAGGUGAACCCACAGAAGCCUAUCUGAUCCUUGAGGUAGGACUGUGCAGGCCCAUUUCUAUGUGGGGAUUUUUGUUCCAAUAAAUACAUUGGAAACUUUUCUGGAGAUGUGUGACUUUUGGAAAGACUGGCAGAUGAGCUGAGCAGCUACGAAGUAUCAAAACUAGUAAGUAAAAGGGAGGCCAGGAGUGCAUGAAAUGUACGCAGAUACUAGGCUAUUAGAGCAUUUCCUCUCUGAAAACAUACACAAACCUACUCUAACAAGAUAAAACGUAUCAUUUUGCACACAGAAACAGACCGUACCUACAUGGUACAAUUUGCAGUAAAGGGAAAGGCAAACAAAUGUGGAGACGCAGGAUUAAGUCCUAACCGCAUAACACGAGCUGUAGCAGACGCUGUCCUCUGGGGGAAGGGUGCACCACCUCCUGUUGCUAUUGAGGUCCCCUCAAGUGUUGCACGAAUCCACGAAUCUGCUACUCAGCUCUUGGUAAGCACUUCCUUUCUCCAGUAAAUCAAGCACCACAGGAGAAGUGAUUUCUCAGGGUUCCUGCGUCAUUUUCACCGUGAUAAGGGCAAUACCAUGAACCUUAAUUACAGCCCGGGACCCGUUUGAAGUGUCCCCAGGGAUGCUGGACGUGCUCCCGCGAUGCAGAAAAGACUCAUGGUAUGACAAGAAAAGGCUGAAUGGCCUGACAUGUACUGAGGUCCACAGCUGCAGCUGCCAGCCGGCCAGCGUGAGGACCAUGGAGACACAAAGAAAGGGAAAUUCUCGAAGCUCUCGCUGCAGCUACCCCAGCACAUGCAAAAACCUGGUGCUAUUUGUGAGACAUCUUUGUGUCUCGUGUGGAAGAUGUGGCAUCUCUGUGGAUGUAGGACUGCUGUGAGACGGGCACACCUGCAGACUCAACUCAAACUGCAAGACAAGUGAAGACCUGACAUCACGACGUAAGGCAGAAGGAAGGGAAGGAUCGAAAACUGGCACAUUUCAAUGCAGGCACAGGACAGCUUGGUGGUUUUAGAAAGGGGUUUGGCUUUGAAAUGGUCCAGACGAUAGGAGAAGCAGCCUCCACCACGAAGAAGAAGGACACAGUUUCCCAGACGCCCCAGAGAAGAUUGCAGAGAAGCAGGAACUACCAUCCACCGCAUGUCAACCACUCCAACACAAAAAGUGAAAACCCAAGAAAAUCAGGUGAGGAGACCAUGGCUGCCUGCACAGGUUUUUCAUGCAGAAGGAGGUGCCCUGUCGGGGGGAAAAUGCCACAAACGACAUUUAUUCACGAGAAAGACAAGUGAGCGCCAAGAUGUUGGGUAGGAAGGGGUGAAGCAGCUACCGACUGAGCGGAUACGGGCGGGGUGUGAGCAGGGCGGCUGGCCCUGUGUAGGAAGCUCACCCCAGGGUCCUGAAGGCAACAAGUCCCAGUGGCCAGUGGUCUGCUGCACAACCAGAGCCCUUGCCCUGGACCAGUUCCAUCCCGGCUCUGUCCCUCAACUCAGGAAGUACGCUGAAAGCAAGGGACUGUCCUCCAAAGUUCUUCUGACAUUGGACAAUGUCCUGGCCACCCAGAACCCCACGGGUCAGCACCAAACGUGUCUUGGCGGCUCACUCGCUCCGGAGCGCAGCGGGUCUAAGUCAGCCUGCGGACCAGGGGCCACGAGGACCUGUGAGGCUCAUGACACAGGCACGUUACAAGAAGGACAGUCAAAGCUACCAAAGAGAACCGCCACAGAGGGAACAUUAUGAAAGUCAGGAAGAUGCCAAGGGACGUUACAAAAAACUCUGGGGAAACCAUCAAGCCCAACACAAUCAAGAAAUCCCUGCUAGAGAUGACUGUCCAUACGACGUGCGUGAUUUCCAGGACCUAUGACACAGCCAAUCAGGAAACUCAUGAAUGAGAAUAUGGCAAAAAGAAAAAAAAGAAAAAGAAAAAGAGUUGGGGGAUGCAGGGAUUCAAAAUACGUAUCCUACAGAAGGUCACCAGCACAGAGAAAAGCCCAGAGGAGGUCACAGAAGAAGACACCACAGAGAGGAGAUCUGGCGAAGCAGACGGAGGGCGAGGAAGGCGGCAUGGAAGUGGCGUCGCUGGAAAGCACGCUGCCACCAGGAGUGAUCCGGCACAGUCUCGGCUCCUUUCCCACAUGGACCCUUCCGUGAUAAGGGCGCUGGGACUAAAGCCAGCCAGCCGUCUACGGAAACAUUGGCCAGGAACAGAAAGGCCCUUCUGGAAAGCUGCACAGACAGUGCCCGCCUCCACCCCCAUACCGCCAGGCCCCAAGGCCCAAGACUGCCCCAUCUAGCGGGUCCCCCCCACCCCGUGCAGGUCUGUGCAUCAGCACAUUUGUGAGGACCCACCGCCACUUUCCAGACAGCAAAUCCUCACCAAGGUGCUCAGUGAACCACUUCGCCUGCCACCCACACGUCUGUGCGUGAAAAUCGAGGGAGCAUGCAGCCAGGCCACCCGGGACGCAUGUGUGUCACCACCACCUAAGCAUUCAUCAGGAGGAACAUCGUGUGCGAGACUUGUGUGCACUUGGACAGCCUAUCCUCACAUGGGCAUAAGGGGAUAAGAUCUGACAUAAAACGAAUAACGUGUUGUUCCAUAACCUGGCUUUCAAAAAAUGACAUUUCCUUCUGGCAGGCCUCUCUGUCCCCGCCCAGAGAAAAUGCCUCUCAGCCUACUAUCACAGGCCGUUUUUGUAAUGUAACAAUGUGUCCAGACUGUAUUAGGAAUUUGGCUGUAAAACCGCAGGCUAGAAAAGCUUUGUAACCAUGCAUUCACCCGUGUCUCUCCUAGGCCAUGACGAAGCAAUCGUACUGAUUACACCAGGCCAUCACGAAGCAUUCACCCUUCAUUGGUUACUGGACAACAGGAGAGUUUGAACAGUUAAGUGUUCUGGGGACCAAACGUUAUACAUGGAUUUUCAAUUGUGGGCAGGGUGGAACCCCGAACACCAAGUUGUUCUACGGUCAGCUCUACUCAUCCUUGGGGAAGAACGAAGCAAGCACGACCUUUGUGAACAACAGAAAAGAGUAAAAUAGAAAUAGAUUUUCUGUUUUAA